rnacentral:rRNA from 1 species
UGCAAGUCGAGCGGCAGCGCGGGGCAACCUGGCGGCGAGCGGCGAACGGGUGAGUAAUGCAUCGGAACAUGUCCAUGUCGUGGGGGAUAGCCCGGCGAAAGCCGGAUUAAUACCGCAUACGCCCGAGAGGGGAAAGUGGGGGACCGCAAGGCCUCACGCGAUUGGGUUGGCCGAUGUCCGAUUAGCUAGUUGGCGGGGUAAGAGCCCACCAAGGCGAUGAUCGGUAGCUGGUCUGAGAGGAUGAUCAGCCACACUGGGACUGAGACACGGCCCAGACUCCUACGGGAGGCAGCAGUGGGGAAUUUUGGACAAUGGGGGCAACCCUGAUCCAGCCAUUCCGCGUGAGUGAAGAAGGCCUUCGGGUUGUAAAGCUCUUUUGUCCGGAGCGAAACGGUUGUCGUGAAUAGCGGCGACUACUGACGGUACCGGAAGAAUAAGCACCGGCUAACUACGUGCCAGCAGCCGCGGUAAUACGUAGGGUGCGAGCGUUAAUCGGAAUUACUGGGCGUAAAGCGUGCGCAGGCGGUUUUGUAAGCCAGAUGUGAAAUCCCCGGGCUUAACCUGGGAAUGGCAUUUGGGACUGCAAGGCUGGAGUGCGGCAGAGGAGACUGGAAUUCCUGGUGUAGCAGUGAAAUGCGUAGAUAUCAGGAGGAAUACCGAUGGCGAAGGCAGGUCUCUGGGCUGACACUGACGCUCAUGCACGAAAGCGUG